CCGUUGUUUUAAUGCUGAAAAGUGACAACUCAAUUGAUCUUCCCCAACCUCAACGGCCGGCCAUUUUUGCUGGGAGAUUUACAGACCACCACGAGGCAAAAGCUAAUGAUUGUUCUGUCAAUGGCUUAACAGUUUCUGAUAUUUUACCUCGUUGAUGAAGCUCGUGAAUGAAGUGUGUGACCAGGAAGCCCUCUUAGGUAUGUCCGCUGCUAUAUAGGAUGGGGCAAAAUACAUUCAUUGUUCCGCAGUUACAAAAAAUGGUAUGAAAGAGUAAUAAUGGAUUGAAAUCAAUUAUCUGUUAAAUUGUUUUUAAUAUAAUUAUUUAUUACAAUCUUUUGAAUGUGAAUACUGAAUAUUUGAUUUGGUAUUUACAAUGAUAAUUAAAAAAUUUCUUUGAUAGUAAUGUUAAAGGUACACAUGGAUGGAGGGACCAUGAGUCACCAAUCACUGAAUGUAUAGGGACUUGCAUGACCAAAAUUCCAGUAAAGGAGUUGAUACGACUAAUUUUCAAAACUUGAGGGAUUACAAAUGUAUUUUACCAAGUUAGAUGUUAGGUUUUGUGUAAAACUUUAUUGCACUGGAUUAACUAAUCAUUUUUGGUCCCUGUACUUUUGUUUAAGUGCCCAAUGUUGAGUUCUGCGCAAAUAUUCUUAUACAUCUUAUCGAAUUUGGAGGGGCACGAUUUGAUGAACUUAAAUAAUAAAACUAGUUUUAUACUAGCUGACACAACACCUGAUAUUAACUAUAACUAAAAUUAAUCAGUAUUUCACUAUAAUAUGGACUACUAUGCACUGUAAGUAAAUUCAUUAAACUGUAGCAUGGGUUAAUAUGCACUGUAAAUAAAUUCACUGUGAAUUGUAUUAUUCUGCACAGUAGCGGUUUUGUGAGUGCUUUCACUGUGAACCGCAUUGUUUGGUAGGGGCAUGUGUGAAGCUGCAUCCAACAGGCCCCAAGCGUCAAGCUGGAGGCGCGUCCCCUGAGAUGCGCACAUGUGGUGCUAGGGCUGCCUGCCUGGGGUUGGGAACAAGUGGGGCACGAGCAUGGCUCCCUCCCAGCGCAGCCCAAGCACCACGUGGCACUUGGGAUGCCUGCCUGAAGGCUGAGCACACUACUGCACACACAUGGCACUUGGGUUGUGCUGGAAGUGAGCCAUGUUCAUGCCCCACUUGGGGACACCUGAUGCUUGGGUCAUGACGCUGGACCCGAGGUUCUUGGAUCCUAAGAUUCUAAAUAUUAUUGUUUGUUUUAAAAAUAUUAUUAUUAUUAUUAUAAUUAAUAUUAUUAAUAAAAUAAUUAAUAAAUUUGAAAGAAGAUAUUAUUAAUAAUAUUGAAAACAUAUUAUUAUUUACAUUAUAAAUUUUUAUGAAUUUUUUUAUAAAAAUCAAAAGUUAGCCCGCGGCAUAGUAUUAUUAAAAAUAGUGAACAAUUCUAAGUAUUAAUAUAAAAAUUAUUAUAAUUUGAGUUGUAAAUAUUAUUAUUUUUCUUAUAAUACAAAGUAUUCAUCUAAAAAAUAUUUGAGAAUUUUUUGAAAAACUAACCCUAUCAAGUUUUAUCAUAUUUGUUCUAAUAAACAAAUAUAUUUUCUACUGAUUUUCGUUUUCAUCUAUGUAAUUUCAAUUAUUUAAUUUUAUUUCCUUAAUUACUUCUUUAAUGAGAUUGUGAUUUUUAAUAAUGCAAUUAAAAUCCACACACCUGACAGAAAUGGGGGAGGGAGAAAUUGGAACAAAGAUGAAAGAUGCAAGAUCUAAUUGAAACAAACCAAAGAUUUUAGAUGAAAUUAAAAUCUAUCCUUUAUUUUUUUGAGUUUUUUAAUAAGACCAAUUAAAUUCCGUAUUCUUUUCUCCACGCGCAGCAUUAAGACGUACAAGAAGACUUUUCAUCACGGGACUUUUCUCUAUCCUUUGAUGCACAAGCUGCAUAAAAUAGCAAGAGAAGACCUUCAACUCUUGAACCCACUCGAGGAAAGUGCAACCAUAUGCGAAUAGGCAUUUGAGAUUCUCUGGACAGUACUCGUGGCAUGGAGUGUGACUCUUGAAUAUAUUUUCUCAUAAAUAAGAGGACCAAAAAGCAAGUCAAUGGUACGUUGGUCCCAAUAGAUAAGAUUAAUAAAGAUUUUUGGGGUUGGGGGUAACAUGUUUUUUAUUAAAAUUUUAUUUUAUUUUAUUUUAAAUUAAUAUUUUAGUAUUUUUAAAUUGUUUUAAUAUAUUGAUAUCAAAAAUAAAUUUUAAAAAAUAAAAAAAAUUAUUCUUAUACAUCAUCUAGGGCACUCCAAACACUUCUAGAUAGUCCUCCUAAGAAUUGAGGAUAAUUCAAAAUCUAGAUAAAUUCAACCAGGGGAAUGGUUUGAUAAAAAUUAAGAAAAAAUCAUCCAGAAUAAUCAAAUAUGAAUGUUAGGGAUUUUAGUGGAGAUCACAUACAAUAACUUUGUACCAUUUUAGUGGAGAUCAGAUUUUGUCUCUUGUGUGAGCAAGAACAAAUAUGGGAUUUUUCCGUCGGCGUAAGACACAUAUUCCGUCGGUAAUUAAUUUACCGACGAAAUCACCGAUGAAAAUGUUCCGUCGGUGCAUCUUUCAUCGGUAAUUUUUUGUCCGUUGGUAAUAAAAAAAUAUUAUUACCGACGGAAUAGACGCGUAAAAAAAAUUACCCGCUUCAUUCCAUCGGUAUAUCCCUCAAAAAAUACAAUCGGUAAUUCCGUCGGUAAUUAUUUAAAAACAUUUGUAAAAAAAUAUAUUUUAUAAAAUAAUUAAAUUAACAUAAAUCAACACUCUAUAAUAUAUACUAAAAAUGCUUGGAAAAAACAAUAAGAAAAUCAACUCAAACAAAUUUGCAACAAAUAAAUAAAACAAAAAAAUAAAUUCAACUAAAAAAAUUCAUAUGAAAAAAAUGAAGUUCCAAUUGCUAAAAAUUUAAAAAUCCUAAAAAUUGAUCUCAUAUGAAAAAAAAAUCUCACAACAAUAUUUAUACAAUUAUUAAGAACAAAAACAAUUAAAAAUAAAAUAAAAAACAAAUAUAGUGAAAAAAAUCAUGAAAAAAGAAGAAAAAAGAAAAAUCUUACCUUAAUGUAGUUGCAAGUGAAGCUAAGGAGAAAGAAAAAAAUUUCGUAAAGCAUAUUAAUUAAAAAAAAACUAAGAGGAUAAAAGAAGAAAGAAGAAGAAGACAUACCCGAGCAUGGAGGAGAAGAGAAGGAGAUGAGGAUAGAAGAGAAGAGAAAGAAAUAGAUAUUGAUGUUUUUUACAUAUAGUGAAGAAGAAGAAGAAGAAAUGAGUCUGUCUCUUGUGAAAUAAGGGGAUUCGGGCUUUUUAUUGGGCGGGUUAGGAAUUACCGACGGAGAAUUAAAUAUUAAUAUUUGUUCAUUAUUCCGUCGGUAAUUUUGUCUGUAAUAUUUCAUUUAAAUUUUUAAUUUCAUAAAAAAGUUUUCAGAAACCGCCAACAAUCACUGACAAUUUUUCAAUCCGUCGGUGAUUCCGUCUGUAAUAUUUAAAUGAAAAUUUUAAAUUAAUUGAAUUUUUUCAGAAAACCGCCAUAUAACACCGACGACUUUUCAAUCCGUCGGUGAUUUUGUCCGUAAAGAACAACAAUUAACAGUGCAAUUGGAAAGUAAACAGUUCUAGAGCUCUUUAAAAAAUACCGACGGAAUAAUUCCGUUGGUAAUUAUGUUGGUAAAAAAUGACACAUCAUUUUUUUUGCUUUGUUUUAAUUUUUUUUCCCACUGUAAUUCCCUCGGUGUUUCUGUUUGUAUUUAUCGAUUUUCUGGUAGUGACUAGCAUAAUGUAUAUAUACUUUUCAUCCAUUUGUCUAUUAAAAUCUUGAACAAAAAUCCUAGGAAAAACAAAAAUUAAUAUCCCAUAUAAAUGUAUGGAAUAUGGUAGCUUGAAUAUAAGACAAUUUUAACAUCACAUGGAGCCUGAUUAUUUCUUGAAAAAUCAAAGAUGCUCCUUGAUGACAACAUCAAACAAAGAAAGAGACAUGAUGAUGGAGAUAGAUCAGAAUGGGAAAUUGCGACCAUAUGCGAAUAACCACUUGAGAUUCUGAGUGGAUAAGUUUGAACAGUACUCGUGGCAUUGAGUGCGACUCUUGAUUAUAUUUUCUAAUUAAUAAGAGGACCAAAAAGCAAGUAAAUGGUACGUUGGUCCCGUGUUUAAGAUUAAUAAAGAAUAAUAACUUUCAGCUGUUUUUUUUAUUAAAAUUUAAUUUUUUUACUUUAAAUUAUUUUUUAAUUUUUUAAAAUUAUUUUAAUAUGUUGAUGUCAGAAAUAAAUUUUUUAAAAUUAAAAAAAUUAAUUUUUAUUAAUUCCCUAGCAAAAUAACAUUUUAAAAAAUAUAAUUUACUAUACUUUUAAACAUCAUAAUUCAAAAUCAAGGUCAAUUCAACCAGGGAAUGGUUUGAUCAUAAAAAUUAAAAACAAAUCUUCAAGAAUAUAUAGAAUGUUAGGGAUUUUAGUGGAAAUCGCACACAACAACUUGUAACAUUUCAACACAUGAGUUUUUCAAACUAAGAAUAUUGUUUUUGAAUGUAUAAUUCCAAUUCUUUUGUUAACAACUUCCGUUUUGAAUAUUCUUUUUUUUUUGUCAAUAUUCAAACUCUUUUGAAUAUUCUUCUAUUCUUAACAACAGUGCUGCAUCUAAUAAUUAAGUUAAUAAUUUAAGUCAUUUUAUAUCAGAUUCAAUUUAGUAAGAAACCUAUCAUUCUAUUCUGACUAAUUAAUCUUUUCAAAAAACGCUCAUGCUAUCAAAUUCUAUUUAUAAAAUUUCACAGCAUUAAUCCAAGUAAUGGAUUUUGAAUAAAAUACUCUUUCGUUGUUUAUAAAAUAUUAAAAAAUAAUAUAAAUUAUAUUUUAUAACCUUUCUUGACAAUUAAAAUAAUUUUUUAACAUAAUAUUAGAGUUUUUAUUAUUAAAAGGUUACAAGUUGGAAUCAAUAUGAAGGUUUUUAUUGAUCUUUUUUAUGUAAAGCCGCCAGAAGUUGCUUUCGUAAAUGGAAUGCCUUGCAUAAAUUUGUUACUCAUCUCAAUCCUAGCUUUUUAUUGCUUGUCUUGUCUAAAUUUUUGUUAAGAUGUUCAUCCAAAAUAUAAUUAUGACCAGGCAUGCACUUUUAGCCAUGUGUUUCUUGAUUAUACUGCUUUCAAUGCUCUUUGCCCUUGUUCUUGCAGACCCUCUAUUCACAACUUGCUCAACUAAUGAAUAUGGUAACUAUGAUCUGAAAAGCCCAUUCGGAAAGAACGUGAAGAUUGUCCUUGAAACCUUACCUUCCAUCACUUCAUCAACCGGCUAUAACAGCACAGCUAUCGGUAGAUUCCCUGACAAAGUCACUGGCAAAGCACUUUGCAGGGGAGAUGUCACUUCGAGUGCUUGUCAGACUUGUUUGAGAGAUGCAAGCCAAAAACUGUUGAAAGAUUGCGAAAGUAAAGAAGCAAUCAUGUGGUAUGAACGAUGCCAAAUUCACUACUCGUUUCAGAAUAUAAUUUCAUUGGAUGUUUAUGCCGGGAAGUAUCCAGACUUGGAAUCUCAUAAAAAAUCCGUAUCAGAUCCUGUUCAUUUCUACGAGAAUGUAAGGUUCCUUAUGGACAACAUGUCAAAUGAGGCGGCGCUCAAUCGUUCAAAGCUCAUGUUUGAAACUGGGGAAAUCAAGUUUUCAAGGAACGAAACCAUAUAUGGCCAUGUACAGUGCACUAGAGAUAUCAGAGAAGAUGAGUGUCAGAAAUGUUUGAGCUCUGCUUUGAUUGAUCUCAAGGGAUGUUGUUCUUCGCAGCAAGGUGGAAUUAUUGUUAGUAGUAAUUGCAAUGUAAGAUUUGAGCUGUACAAAUACUACAACACCUCAAGUCACUUGAUAACAUUCCCAACUCCUAAAGGUGAGUAAACAUAAUUUGUUUUUAUUGAUAAACUGUCAGCAAACAGAAGUUAUGUUUUGAUUACACUUUAGUAAGAAAGGGCAGUACCAGUAAUUCUUGGUGUUUCAAAUGCUGGCUUUACUCAUAAGUACCCAAAUUGUUAAUGAUUGAUAUUGUUACUAUUAAUUCAUUCUUUGAAAGGUAAUGUAUUGGUACCAAAUUGUCCAGAAUCCUAGUCCAUUAUUAAAUGAUAUGAUACCAAAUUCUUGCUUUGCAAGGCAGGAGUAAUUGGAAGAUGGUGGCAAUUAUUGUGUUUAUACCUACAAUGGUGCUUACAAUAGUCAUUGGAUCUUCCAUUUUCUGUCUGAGGCGAAAAAGAAGAAGACAAAGAGGUAUCUGAACCAAGUGAUCAGGUCCACUUUAAUUAAAUAGGUUAAUUUACAUCCGAAUUCAAAAGUACUAAAACUCCUAUUUUUUAGCAGACAUGGAAAGAAGUCACCUAGCAUUAUUACAGGAAUUGGCCUGUCCAAGAGGGGUCACAAUGACAGAUGAAGGUCACUUGGUAAGUUCUGAGGACCUGCCUUUCAUGGACUUAACUACUAUCAGAGAAGCUACAGACAACUUCUCCGAUUCAAAUAAGCUUGGACAAGGUGGGUUUGGCACUGUUUAUAAGGUAAGUGGUCAAGGGGCUUUGCUGUCAUAAUCCACUGAGAUUCAGGAGUAUGUCUUUCCAAGCCAUCCCUCUAGGAAAACCGAGUUUUUUGUUCAGUUUGCCAUGUCUUAAUAUUGCUUCAGUUGAUAAUAUUUGCCUCAUUGCAAAUUUGUUUCAGGGUGUGUUACCAGAUGGGAAAGAAAUAGCUGUUAAAAGGCUGUCAAGGAAGUCAUGGCAAGGCUUAGAGGAGUUCAAGAAUGAAGUCAAAGUAAUUGCAAAAUUACAGCACCGAAACCUUGUGAGGCUAUUGGGAUGUGGCAUGCAAGGAGAGGAAAAGCUGCUCAUAUAUGAGUUCAUGCCUAACAAAAGCCUUGAUAUCUUUAUCUUUGGUCUGUUCCAUUCAUUUAUUUUGCCUUUGAAUUCUUAAAUUUUACAUUUUCAACAAUUAAAUGACGCAACAGGCUGAAGUUUCAUCUUAUUCAAAUUUCAGAUGCCGAAAGACGCGCACUUCUUGAUUGGGAGACAUGUUACAACAUAGCUGGUGGGAUUGCUAGAGGACUUCUUUACCUACACGAGGAUUCCCGGCUUAGAAUCAUUCACCGGGAUUUGAAACCUAGCAAUGUGCUCUUAGACCAUGAAAUGGUUGCCAAGAUAUCAGAUUUUGGCAUGGCUAGAAUUUUCUGCGAAAACCAGAACAAAGCUAACACUAGAAGAGUAGUAGGAACAUUGUAAGCCCUCUUUUAAUUUUAUUUUUUUUUACCUCUAAUUUCUUUUUCUAGUUUGGUGAUGAUUUUAGUCCUAAAUUCUUAUAACUUAUCCAAAGUACGUCUUACGCACGAAACAGCGGAUAUAUGGCUCCGGAGUACGCAAUGGGAGGGCUAUUCUCAGUGAAAUCAGAUGUCUUCAGCUUUGGUGUUAUACUACUGGAGAUCACAAGUGGGAAAAGAAGUAGUGGCUUUUAUCUCUCAGAACAUCGCCAGACACUCUUAGCAUAUGUUUGUACAAUACAUCGCUGCCAUCAAAAUUUCCAUUCAAAUAAUUUUCAACCUAUGAAAAAGAAUUUGAAGCUUGAAAAUUAUAACUAGGUACUGUUAUGAUAGUUUUUUUCAUGCAAUUUGACAGGCGUGGAGAUUGUGGAAUGAAGGGAGAGAAAUGGAAUUAGUGGAUCCUUCGUUGAUGGACAGAAGUCAAACAGAAGGGAUUGUGAGGUGCAUACAUGUUGGGCUGUUAUGUGUGCAGGAAGAUCCAGCAGACAGGCCAACAAUGUCAUUUGUGGUUCUAGCUUUGGGAAGUGACCCAAUAGCUCUUCCUCAGCCGAAACAACCUGCUUUCACUCUAGGUAAAAUGGUUCCAAUCUACAAGUCUUCACCGACAGAUCCUUCUGUAAAUCAAAUGACUGUUUCUGGUAUCGCACCGCGCUGAUUGUUAAUAAGAUUGCCACUGUUCUUGUCAAUGUCUGCGGCAAUUGGUGUGGUUCAGAAUAGCUAGUUUUCUUAGCCAUUUUGUUAAGAUCUCAAAAUGGUGAAUAGAAGACCUCAAAUUGUGUAUAAUAACAAUGUGUCUGAAUAGCUAGUUGGAAUUAUAAGGGUUCUGACAAAUUAUAAGCCAGAAAUAAAUAGCAUGACGAGACAUUGUCCACUAAUUAUUUUAAGGUGGUACUGAUAUAGUUUUGGUUCUGGUCACGUUGGUCUCUAACACUAACCACUACUGUUUUUUUUUUUUUUUUUUUGGAAAGGAAAAAUAUCAAUUUCAUCAAAUCUAAAUUGUAAAAAUACCCCCCUUGAACUUAUGCCAAAAAAACAUAGUUUUAAGAUAAUAUUUUUUUUAUAAAUAUUAAAACGAAAAUAUAUUAGAUCGACUCAAGUCAAUCUAUGUUAACAUAUAAACUUCACAAUCUAAAUCAUGAGACCGUUAUAAUCUCAUAGAAAAUAAAUAAAUAAAAUAUAUUGAAGUUAAAUUGUUAACUUACCAAAAUAUUGAAGGAUGAAAUUAAAAAAAAAUCAAUUAAAAAAAACAUGAAUCAAAUGAGUUAACCUACAAAACUUAUGACUUGAAUCAUGAGAUUAUGAUAACUUAAAAGAAAGUAAACCGAAAUAAAUUAUAAAAUUCAAUUUCCUAAUAAAUCCAAUAUUAAAGAAUGAAUUUGAAAAAAAAAACUAAAUGAAAAAUUAAAAAAAAAUUAUUGUUUCAAUUAACACUACUUUGUGAGGAGGUGAACAAUAAUUUUAAUUAUAUUUUAUAUUUAUAUAAAUAUCAAAUUGUCCUUUAAUUAACCUAAUAAUAACUUAAAAACUAGUGUGAAAAUAAAACAAAAAAACCCUGAGAAACAGUUUUAGAUUUUUUGCUUACAGUUAUAUUUUAGUAAUUAAUUUUAUUAUAUAUUAUAUAAAAUACAAAAAAAUUUAUUUAUCCUCAAUAAAUUUGAUCAUAACUAAUGAUUAAUAGAUGACAUAAAAUCAUCAUUGCACUAUUUUAUUGAUCAUUAUUUUCGCUCAUGUAAACAUUGUUUCCACUUAUAGUUAAUAUUGUUUUUUAAAGGGGAUUUAAUUAGGCUUUGUUAAUGUUUUUCUAAGUAGGUUGAGAAAACGAUAGGAAUUGAGAGGUUGUUUCCACUUAUAGUUAAUAUUUUCGCUCAUGUAAACAUUUUUUCCUUCAGUUUCUCAACAAAACCCUAAUGGAAAGGAAACAUUAAAAAAAUCAUAUUGUAAAAUCAUAGUUCAAAGGUUUUAAAUUUUUUUUUGUUGUUGAAUUGCCAAAGAGAGUUGGCUCUCUCGACUCACUAGUUCACCUAAAGGUUCAUAAAUUGGCAUUGUCAAGGAAUAAUUAAGAGGUUGUAUUUUAAUAAUUCAAUCUAUUAUUAAAAAAGAAAUUGCUAUUACUUUCAUUAAUAAUAGUUAAAAAUGUUAUUCGUUAUGCUAUUAUUUCAAUUUUUGAAUGGUUCUAGUAAGUUAUUAGAGUUUAUUUGGUAUUAUUGUAGUUUUUAUUUUUUAAAAUACUUUUAAAAUUAUUCUGCAUUUGAAAAGGUAUCAAAUUGAUGUAUUUUUUAGAUGUUUUUCAAUGAUUUUAACAUGCUAAUAAAAUAUAUAAAAUAUUUGGAUAUAUAGAAGAAUUCUACAUUUUUAUCCAUAUUUUUGAAUUUUAUGACCAUAAUGAUAUCAUAUUUUGUAGUUCAAACGAUAUUUUACAAUUUAAUCUUUCAUUAGACUAAAAGAUUAUAUCCCAUGUAUAAAAAUAAUAGAAAUUACAACUUGGUAUUUGAAAAUGUCGUUGAGAACAUUAACACAUGGUCUUCUUGGCGUAUGGAGAAUAUGAAAAACUCUUCGAACUUCCUAAAUUUGGAUAAAUUGUUUAUGUAGAAACGAUUGCAUCGCGCAUACAUAAAUGAGUCUAAGCCACCAAGAAUCAACAACAAACGAGCUGCAUAAUUAAUAACUACCUUACGUAAAAUAUUAAAUUUCAAAUAAAAUGAUGGAAUUUCUUUUAUAUAUAUAACAGUGUACAAUUUAGAUUGAAAAAUAGAUGGAAAGGUUUAAAAAUAAAUAAUAAUCCUUAAUUGAGAAUUUCUACGAGUUUGAGGAUAAAAUUAAUAAAAACAAUAUUUUUCAACAUGCCUUGAUUUAUCCCAAUUCUUCCAAGAAAAUUCCCAUGUGCUAUGCUUUUGGAUGACCCACCAUAUUUGACUGCUUUAUAUAUAUAAAUAUGGCCUCCCGGCCGCAAGGUGAAAGAAGACAGAAAACAAUUUCAGCUACAAAUUAUAGAUGAUUCUUGAUAGCUAGAGUCGAAAACUCAAAACACAAGAUAUGGGUCACAAUUUCCUUCUUGUUAAAAAAAGUAUUCAAAUGCUUUUGCUGUAUUUUUCCAUUGCCAACCUUCUUGAUCUUGCUUAUGCUGAUCCUCCAUACGGACUUUGCUCGAACAAAUCUAGUUAUACAGAUAAUAGUCCAUUUCAAAACAACCUCGAGACCCUCAUGGCUUCUCUUUCCUCAAAUGCUUCAGUUUCAAAAAAUUUCAAUACCUCUACUGGAAUUGAUCCAGACAGCGUGUAUGCUCAAUAUAUGUGCCUCAACUAUGUAACAAAUGAAAGCUGCCGUACCUGCGUAGCCGCAGCAUCUCAAGAUAUCAGGCAGCUUUGUCCAGGAGAUAAGGAAGCAGUUGUGUGGGGAGAGCUAUGUCAAUUGCGCUUCUCGAAUCAAAGAUUCUUAGGCCACUUGGAUGUUUCAGGAAACAUUCCCCAAUAUAAUCCAAAGAACAUUUCAAAUCCAGAACAUCUUAGUUUAGUAGUCAAUAAAACCUUGAGUAGUCUUAUCAAGAAGGCAGCUUUUGAUUCUUCAGCGAAUAUGUAUGCUACUAGAGACGAACCUUUCACUGAUAGUGACAGCUUUUUCUCUCUAGUACAGUGCUCUACAGACUUGUCUCCAAAUGAUUGUUACACAUGCCUUGAGGUUGCCGUAAAAAAUGUUACGACUUGUUGCUAUUUUUCUCGUGGAGCGAGGGUUCUCAGCCGCAGUUGCUAUUUAAGGUAUGAGUUAUAUGAUUUCUAUGACGGCGCAACUGAAUCUUCUAAAAGUCCGGUGACCGGAAAAGGUACUAAUUUGCUUAUAGAUCAAUUAAGACGUAAAAAGUGGUUAUAUUUGGCUGUAUUUGCUAAUUAAAAAAAACUAUACUUCUUGCACUUAAAAUAAUUUCUUUUCCCUAAUGACAGGCAACGAAAGGGAAAUAUGGAUAAUUACCAUCAGUACUGUGGCAUCAACACUUUUGGUGGUAGCAAUUUUAGUCUCCUUCUUCUGCCAUCUUCCGAUGAAAUUCAGAAUGCGAAAAUGCAAGGAUGCUUCUCAUGAAAUUCACUAACAUGUUCUUUUUGGUUUUCUUUGUAACCCUUGUUGACUUCUUGAAUCUUGUCACCCAGGUAAGAAAGAAAAUACUAGUGAAGAUGGUAAAUUUCGUGUGUUUGAUCACCCAAACCACAAUGAUUUCCAGCACCAAGAUUUUCAGAGAGAUGGCCUUAAUGAUCGGGAAUCCGCAAUUAUGGAUUUGGCAUCCAUAAAUGCAGCUACUGAUAACUUCUCUGAAACAAACUUGCUUGGGCAAGGUGGUUUUGGCCCGGUUUACAAGGUAAAUGAAUUACAAUAUCUUAUGUUCAAGCUCAAAUUACCUUACGAAGUACUCUAGAGAAGAGAUAGAAGGAGGUUUUACUAAUUCCUUUGUUGUGUAUUUUUGAAGGGUAUACUGAGUGAUGGAAAAGAAGUAGCAGUAAAGAGACUUUCAGCUUUGUCCGAGCAAGGCAAAAACGAGUUUACAAAUGAAGUUCUGCUAAUCAUGAAACUUCAGCACAAAAAUCUUGUUAAGCUUCUCGGUUUUUGUGUUGAUGGAGAGGAAAAGCUUCUGGUCUAUGAAUUCAUGCCUAACAACAGCCUAGACAUGGUCCUCUUUGGUAACUAGUCCUCUUUAAUAAGUUCCUUAAUGUUUUGAAAUCAGAAAUUUCCAUUCAUUGAUCUCAGAUACAAUAUGCUGAAAUCUUAUUUCUCAAAUACUGAAUACAAGCAAUAAUUUGAUUUCGUAUCAAUUUUGAUUUAACUGUAGAUCCGAGGAAAGGUGCUCAACUUAGUUGGAGAAGUCGUAUUCAUAUUAUAAAUGGGAUUGCGAAGGGAACUCUUUAUCUCCAUGAGGAUUCUAGACUUAGAAUCAUCCAUCGGGACCUGAAAGCUAGCAAUAUCUUGUUGGACAAUAACAUGAAUCCGAAGAUUUCUGACUUCGGAAUGGCAAGGAUCAUGGAAGCUAAUGAAGGCGAAGCCAAUACUGUAAGGAUAGUGGGAACAUAGUAAGUGAAUUUUCACCUGAAUUACCUUUGUAUAUUAAGAUAAUCACUUCAUUAGGUACCCGAUUUCCUAGACAAUAAUAAUAUAACAAAGCAUAAUGACAUGAUCCAUCAUUUUCCGUGUUUCAUGUAUCUAACUUUUCCGAGUCUGGAGUUUUUUUGGCCACCUCUGUCUCCACUAGCUGCUGGGAGCACAGAACAUAGGGCUUGUUGGAUAUUUACUUUUUCCAGGAUUACUAAAAUUUUUCUGUCCCUUCUGUUGAAUAGUGGAUACAUGGCACCAGAGUAUGCAAUGGAGGGACUUUACUCCACCAAAUCUGAUGUAUUUAGUUUUGGAGUUAUUCUGCUGGAGAUCAUAACCGGAAGAAAGAAUUCUGGAUUUCCACAAAUCGAAACGUGCUCCUAGCCUCCUAGCUUAUGUAAGUUUCUUCGGCAUAGAAUACACAUAAUCACUUACUUGACACGAUGAUAAAAAUGUUUAGUUAAAUGCACUUUCCGAAUCCUGAAUCAGGCAUGGGAAUUAUGGAACAAUGGAAAGGACUCGAGGAUGAUAGAUCCAGUGUUGGCUGAUCAUGCUGCUCUGAUGAAUUUUCCCGAUGNNNNNNNNNNNNNNNNNNNNNNNNNNNNNNNNNNNNNNNNNNNNNNNNNNNNNNNNNNNNNNNNNNNNNNNNNNNNNNNNNNNNNNNNNNNNNNNNNNNNNNNNNNNNNNNNNNNNNNNNNUUUUUUGCUGGGAGAUUUACAGACCACCACGAGGCAAAAGCAAAUGAUUGUUCUGUCAAUGGCGUAACAGUUUCUGAUAUUUUACCUCGGUGAUGAAGCUGGUGAAUGAAGGGUGUGACCACGAAGCCCUCUUAGGUAUGUCCGCGGCUAUAGUGGAUGGGGCAAAACACGUUCACUGUUUCACAGUUACAAAAAUUGGUAUGAAAGAGUAAGAAUGGAAUGAAAUCAAUUAUCU
rnacentral:lncRNA from 1 species